GGCAGUGUGUACCCCAGGGAGCUGAAGGUGUUGUCCUUCCUCCCCAGCGGCAGUGUGUCCUGCAGGGAGCAGAGACCGUCAGUCUCACACCCCAGCAGCAGGACAAAAUAAUGAAAGGGGAGACAGCUGGUCCGCCUCUCCACCAGCAGAGAGAGUGUCAGGGAGAGGAGCCUGUUAACCCCUCUCCCCAGCGGCAGUUGAC